CAGCCGUAAACUAUGCGCGUUAGGUGUAUCGGUGACCACGAGUCACCGAGGUGCCGAAGGGAAACCGUGAAACGUGCCGCCUGGGAAGUACGGUCGCAAGGCUGAGACUUAAAGGAAUUGGCGGGGGAGCACCACAACGGGUGGAGCCUGCGGUUUAAUUGGACUCAACGCCGGGAAGCUCACCGGAUAAGACAGCGGAAUGAUUGCCGGGCUGAAGACUCUGCAUGACUAGCUGAGAGGAGGUGCAUGGCGUAGACGUCU
rnacentral:rRNA from 1 species